ACGUGUUACUGGGGGUGCCCGUGAAAGUCGGGCUGAGAAAAAACGGUAGGUUUUUAACCCUUCGGACCUGAUCUGGUUCAUACCAGCGUAGGAAAGUAACGUCAAGCUAUG
rnacentral:ncRNA from 2 species